GGGCUAGGGCUUGGCGGAAGAGGUCCCCUGCAAAGGGAAGGCAGGACAGAGCGGGAGGAUGAGCCAGGCCUUGCAGGGUCUGCCCACACCCCCGUGCCCGCUCCUCUCUCUCCUGCAGAUGAUGAUGCCAAUUCCUACGAGAAUGUGCUCAUUUGCAAGCAGAAAACCACAGAGACAGGUGCCCAGCAGGAGGGCAUAGGUGGCCUCUGCAGAGGGGACCUCAGCCUGUCACUGGCCCUGAGGACUGGCCCCACUUCUGGUCUCUGUCCCUCUGCCUCCCCGGAAGAAGAUGAGGAAUCUGAGGAUUAUCAGAACUCAGCAUCCAUCCAUCAGUGGCGCGAGUCCAGGAAGGUCAUGGGGCAACUCCAGAGAGAAGCAUCCCCUGGCCCGGUGGGAAGCCCAGACGAGGAGGACGGGGAACCGGAUUACGUGAAUGGGGAGGUGGCAGCCACAGAAGCCUAGGGCAGACCAAGAAGAAAGGAGCCAAGGCAAAGAGGGACCACUGUGCUCAUGGACCCAUCGCUGCCUUCCAAGGACCAUUUCCCAGAGCUACUCAACUUUUAAGCCCCUGCCAUGGUUGCUCCUGGAAGGAGAACCAGCCACCCUGAGGACCACCUGGCCAUGCGUGCACAGCCUGGGAAAAGACAGUUACUCACAGGAGCUGCAGGCCCGUCACCAAGCCCUCUCCCGACCCAGGCUUUGUGGGGCAGGCACCUGGUACCAAGGGUAACCCGGCUCCUGGUAUGGACGGAUGCGCAGGAUUUAGGAUAAGCUGUCACCCAGUCCCCAUAACAAAACCACUGUCCAACACUGGUAUCUGUGUUCUUUUGUGCUAUGAAUUUGGAUUCCUAAUUGCUAUUGUUGGUUGCUGGGGUUUUAAAUGAUUGAUAAGCUUGUACAGUUAACUUAUAGAGGGGGAGCCAUAUUUAACAUUCUGGAUUUCAGAGUAGAGAUUUCUGUGUUGUCUCCUAGAAAGCAUUACAUGUAGUUUAUUUCAGCAUCCUUGUUGGGUGGGGCCCUGGCUCUCUUCCCCUUUGGUGGGACCUCCCCUUUCUUUGGGCUUCAGUUCACUCAGGAAGAAAUGAGGCUGUCGCCAUCUUUAUGUGCUUCCAGUGGAAAUGUCACUUGCUACAGACAAUAGUGCAUGAGAGUCUAGAGAAGUAGUGACCAGAACAGGGCAGAGUAGGUCCCCUCCAUGGCCCUGAAUCCUCCUCUGCUCCAGGGCUGGCCUCUGCAGAGCUGAUUAGACAGUGUUGUGACUGUCUCAUGGGAAGAGCUGGGGCCCAGAGGGACCUUGAGUCAGAAAUGCUGCCAGAAAAAGUAUC
rnacentral:lncRNA from 1 species